rnacentral:lncRNA from 1 species
GAAAAUUUCAGAUGAAUCUCUGGGUUUUCUAAUUUUAGAAUAGUAUCAUCUGCAACUAAUCUUUGUUCAGAUGUUGAAGGCAUUGCUGACCCUUCCCUCUGGUUGAGGCAGCAUAACAUCAGAGAGCAAAUUUCUCAUGACUUCUGUGGUCUAAGAAGAUGGUCCAGCUGACCGUGCCAUCUCUCAGACAGGGACUUCUGAGGGGGUCACCUCCGCCCAGGACUGUGACAAAAUCCCAGUUACUAUGAUCAAAAGGUCACCUGAAAUUCAUGCCAAGGGAAGACGUCUUCAGAGCAUAAGUUUCAACUUAAAAAGAGGAUAAAUGACAUGCUUGAGAAGUAGCGAUAAAUACAGAAAAUCCAGUGUAGGACUCAUGGACAUUGAAAGAUGCCGAAGCCACUUGCUACAAAGGACAUUCUUUCUGAGGACUACAUAGAAUAGCGCUGUCUUGAAUGGACGUGAUUGGAUACUUUGGGAGCAAGAAGGAAGACUUCACUGUGCUAAACACUGAGCUAAAACGAUUGUUUGUAACAAAAGAUAGUCUACCUUGACUGAUACAGUAUAUCACAAAUAUUUUCUCCCUGAUUAUCUUUUAACUUUAUGAUGCCCUAAUAAAAAUGUUACUUUUACUGUGUUAAAUCUGCGAGUUUAUUCCUUUAUUUCUUAUAGCUUUGUCUUCCUGAGAAAGGUUUUCUCCACCCGCAUCUCCAGGGAUCAGUAUGGACUUGAUACUUUGA